GACGAACGCUGGCGGCGUGCUUAACACAUGCAAGUCGAACGGAAAGGCCCUGCUUUUGUGGGGUGCUCGAGUGGCGAACGGGUGAGUAACACGUGAGUAACCUGCCCUUGACUUUGGGAUAACUUCAGGAAACUGGGGCUCAUACCGGAUAGGAGCUCCUGCUGCAUGGUGGGGGUUGGAAAGUUUCGGCGGUUGGGGAUGGGCUCGCGGCUUAUCAGCUUGUUGGUGGGGUUGGGACUUUCCAAGGCUUUGACGGAUAGCCGGCCUGGGAGGGUGACCGGCCUCAAUGGGACUACGAUACGGCCCAGACUGGUACGUGAGGCAGCAGUGGGGAAUAUUGCAGAGUGGGCGGAAGCGUGAUGCAGCGACGCCGCGUGCGGGAUAACGGCCUUCGGGUGGUAAACCGAUGUGGCCUGUGCCGAAGCGUGAGUGACGGUAAUGGGUAAGGAAGCACCGGCUAACUACGUG
rnacentral:rRNA from 1 species